rnacentral:rRNA from 1 species
GCCCCAGUAAACGGCGGCCGUAACUAUAACGGUCCUAAGGUAGCGAAAUUCCUUGUCGGGUAAGUUCCGACCCGCACGAAAGGCGUAAUGAUUUGGGCACUGUCUCAACGAGAGACUCGGUGAAAUUUUAGUACCUGUGAAGAUGCAGGUUACCCGCGACAGGACGGAAAGACCCCAUGGAGCUUUACUGCAGUUUGAUAUUGAGUAUCUGUACCACAUGUACAGGAUAGGUAGGAGCCAUUGACUUCGGGACGCCAGUUUCGAAUGAGGCGUUGUUGGGAUACUACCCUUGUGUUAUGGCUACUCUAACCCAGAUAGGUUAUCCCUAUCGGAGACAGUGUCUGACGGGCAGUUUGACUGGGGCGGUCGCCUCCUAAAGAGUAACGGAGGCGCCCAAAGGUUCCCUCAGAUUGGUUGGAAAUCAAUCGCAGAGUGUAAAGGUAUAAGGGAGCUUGACUGCGAGAGCUACAACUCGAGCAGGGACGAAAGUCGGGCUUAGUGAUCCGGUGGUACCGAAUGGAAGGGCCAUCGCUCAACGGAUAAAAGCUACCCUGGGGAUAACAGGCUUAUCUCCCCCAAGAGUUCACAUCGACGGGGAGGUUUGGCACCUCGAUGUCGGCUCGUCGCAUCCUGGGGCUGUAGUCGGUCCCAAGGGUUGGGCUGUUCGCCCAUUAAAGCGGCACGCGAGCUGGGUUCAGAACGUCGUGAGAC